CCAUCGGUGGUUCUGUGGUAGAAUGCUCGCCUGCCACGCUGGAGGCCCGGGUUCGAUUCCCGGCCGAUGCA
rnacentral:tRNA from 1 species